UUUAUGAGCUUUUUUGAUAGGAAAUUUAAUAAUUUUAGAAGGCAAAUUAGGUUUUAUUUUUAGCAAUCAAGCUCUUUGAUAAAGUCAAGUAACUGAGUUAACAAACAAAAAAGAUAGUUUGAUCAUACAUCGCAGUUUUGUUCCUUAUUAUAUUUAGCUAUUACAAGGUAAAUCUGGAAGCACAAAUGUAGAAGCAGCAAUUGAAGCUGAUUUGAUUACUUUACUCCCUUAUGUUAUCAGUGUCAUGCUGUGACAGUAAAAUAAUUUUCAAAAAACGUUAUAGUAUGGGUAUCUUGAGUAAUUUUACAAGUUGCUUUUUCGCUAUCCUUAUCCCAUAGGUACUUGAAAGAUCCAUGACUAACAUUUCAGCAUUUUGAUUGAAGGCUCAUAAGCACUGUUGUUAGACUCGUCCGAGUCACGAGUUGACUCGGACGAGUCGAGCCGAGUCACAGCAAAAACGAUGCGACUCUAUGGGUGAAUCGGAGAUGAGCUAGACUCGGUUGGGAAUCGUCCGACUCGGUCGACUCGGACGAUACAACCGAUUCAGUUAAAAUUUCAUAUUUUUGAUACAUUUUUCGUGAAAAA